UGAAUUUUAUGGUAUGAAAAUUAUCCUUUUUUUACUGCAUCCACUGUGCUGACCAAUUGGUUGUAUAUUUUUAGACGCUACAAAUGGUGUAGCUGAAUUAAUGGGUAACAAAGAUCUGGAAAGUGAAGAAUCGCAGGGUAACCAUGGGCCUUUCCGCUACCUCAAAGACUAGUAAGCCCGAAAAUCCAACUCGAUUAGUUGAUGAAAAUCUGGAAAGUGAAGUGCAAGGACAUGAACAGGGAGGGAAGGAAAACAAGCCACCAACUAUGGAUAAACUAUUUUAUCUCAGUUGAAUCCUGGUCUUUCAAAUGAUGAAGUCAUGCAAAAAUGUGAUACAUCUAAGUGGCAUGGUCACAUAGUUGGCUUUGGUGGUGGAAUUAGAGCAAGAGGUUUGCGAGGACGAGCAUUGAGUAAGGCUGAAUUGGUUUCUAAACUUCAAGCUUCUGAGAAAGCAAAACAAGUACUCGAAGAAAAGGUCAAUGCAUGGUGCAAGAAGUGUCAGAAAUCCAGUGUCUUCUGUCCUGUAGAUCUCUAAGUGAUGGUUCUCAUGAACGCCAAAAUGAUCAAGACUGAUGGUCCACCGUAAUAUAUAGAAGCACAAGGAGGCAUUGUAAUCGCCGAUGAAGAUCAAACAACGAUGGUGUCCCUCGAUUGAAGAUUAAUAAAUAUUAUCAAUUAUCUUUUCUAGUUGUCUCGUUUUGUAGAUAGAUAUGAUCAAGUGCAUUGGUAAUAUAAGGAGUGCUUUUAACUCAAAUUUCGUACAUGAUAUUUUAACUUCAGAAUUGUAU